GUAUUAUUUAAUGUUUGAUCAAUCACUUUUUUUUGGUUCCAGCCAAGAAGGGGAAAGACUUUGGAGGAUACAGACUCUGGCAGGAGGCAGCAGUCUUCUUCCUGGAGACUUGAGGCCUGAGGUCAGCAGCCAACUGCUCAGAAGAAGAUCCCAUUGGACUUGGCAUUUGGGAAACCAGAGGCUGGUUCUUCUGAUAGGAGAGAACAGACUGGUCCUGAUAACGCUGAGCUAGGUGAGGAGGAUCCAAGAAACAGUGAAGUAACAUCAUGUGAUACCUUUGU
rnacentral:lncRNA from 1 species